rnacentral:rRNA from 1 species
GGAUUGAGAGCUUGCUCUCAAGAAGUUAGCGGCGGACGGGUGAGUAACACGUGGGUAACCUGCCCAUAAGACUGGGAUAACUCCGGGAAACCGGGGCUAAUACCGGAUAACAUUUUGAACUGCAUGGUUCGAAAUUGAAAGGCGGCUUCGGCUGUCACUUAUGGAUGGACCCGCGUCGCAUUAGCUAGUUGGUGAGGUAACGGCUCACCAAGGCAACGAUGCGUAGCCGACCUGAGAGGGUGAUCGGCCACACUGGGACUGAGACACGGCCCAGACUCCUACGGGAGGCAGCAGUAGGGAAUCUUCCGCAAUGGACGAAAGUCUGACGGAGCAACGCCGCGUGAGUGAUGAAGGCUUUCGGGUCGUAAAACUCUGUUGUUAGGGAAGAACAAGUGCUAGUUGAAUAAGCUGGCACCUUGACGGUACCUAACCAGAAAGCCACGGCUAACUACGUGCCAGCAGCCGCGGUAAUACGUAGGUGGCAAGCGUUAUCCGGAAUUAUUGGGCGUAAAGCGCGCGCAGGUGGUUUCUUAAGUCUGAUGUGAAAGCCCACGGCUCAACCGUGGAGGGUCAUUGGAAACUGGGAGACUUGAGUGCAGAAGAGGAAAGUGGAAUUCCAUGUGUAGCGGUGAAAUGCGUAGAGAUAUGGA